AAAGCUCGCAUACAGAGUCAUAAUCAUGGUAAUAACAUUGCUACAAAGAGCAGUGUACCUUGGGAGUUGAUUUAUUAUGAAGCUUUUAAAUCUACAAAAGAUACACACAAGAGAGAGUUACAAUUGAAAAAAUAUGGUAACGCUCGAACACAUUUGAAAAAUCGAAUACAAGAUAGUCUUUUAUAAUCUAAAUAAAGUGCUGGGUAAAGAUUUAUCGCUUUGGGAACGGCCUGCGGGCUAUCAGCUUGUUGGUAAGGUAACGGCUUACCAAGGCUACGACGGCUAGGGGAGGUGAGAGCCUGACCCCCACCGAUGGAACUGCGACACGGUCCAUACUCCUACGGGAGGCUGCAGUCGAGAAUCUUCCGCAAUGGACGAAAGUCUGACGGAGCGACGCCGCGUGGUGGAUGAAGUCCUUAGGGACGUAAACACCUUUUAUGAGGGAGAAAGUUUAUUGAUGUUACCUCAUGAAUAAGGGGCUCCUAACUCUGUGCCAGCAGGAGCGGUAAUACAGAGGCCCCAAGCAUUAUCCGGAUUUACUGGGCGUAAAGGGUGCGUAGGCGGUUAUAUUAGUCGGGUGUUAAAUCCUGGGGCUCAACCUCAGAAUCGCAUUCGAAACGGUAUAACUAGAAGUAGUCAGAGGCAAGCAGAACUCACGGUGUAGGGGUGAAAUCCGUUGAUAUCGUGGGGAAUACCAAAUGCGAAGGCAGCUUGCUGGGACUCACUUGACGCUGAGGCACGAAAGCGUGGGUAGCGAAGCGGAUUAGAUACCCGCGUAGUCCACGCCCUAAACGUUGUCUGUUGGUUUUAAGGAGUAUCGACCCUCUUUGAGACGAAGCUAACGCGUUAAACAGACCGCCUGGGUAGUACGAUCGCAAGAUUAAAACUCAAAGGAAUAGACGGGGGCUCGCACAAGCGGUGGAUCAUGUGGCUUAAUUCGUAGCUAAGCGAAGAACCUUACCAAGGCUAGAAAUCUUGCUGCAUAUUCUGGGAAACCAGAGUAGCCUUCGAGGGUGCAAGACAGGUGAUGCAUGGCCGUCGUCAGUUCGUGGCUUGAGCUGUUCCCUUAAGUGGGGAAACGAACGCAACCCUCGUUGCCUGUUAUAAGUGUCAGGCGAGACUGCUCCCUCACGGGAGAGGAAGGUGAGGAUGACGCCAGGUCAGCAUGUCCCUUGAUGCCUUGGGCUGCACACGUGAUACAAUGGGUGGUACAACGGGACGCAAUACGGUAACGUGGAGCAAAUCCUUAUAAAACCAUCCUCAGUUCGGAUUGAGGUCUGCAACUCGACCUCAUGAAGUCGGAAUCGCUAGUAAUCGUGAAUCAGCAACGUCACGGUGAAUACGUUCCCGAGCCUUGUACUCACAAAUAACUGUGCCCGGCAGCUAUAAACAUACCAAAUCGUUAAAAUCGAUUCCUACUUUAUAAGCUACCGCUUCUAAAGUAGCGUAGCGAAAAGACA
rnacentral:rRNA from 1 species